ACAUCCAGCGAACUUGGCAGAGAUGCCUUGGUGCCUUCGGGAACGCUGAGACAGGUGCUGCAUGGCUGUCGUCAGCUCGUGUUGUGAAAUGUUGGGUUAAGUCCCGNAACAAGCGCAACCCUUAUCCUUUGUUGCCAGCGAUUCGGUCGGGAACUCAAAGGAGACUGCCGGUGAUAAACCGGAGGAAGGUGGGGAUGACGUCAAGUCAUCAUGGCCCUUACGAGUAGGGCUACACACGUGCUACAAUGGCGCAUACAAAGAGAAGCGACCUCGCGAGAGCAAGCGGACCUCAUAAAGUGCGUCGUAGUCCGGAUCGGAGUCUGCAACUCGACUCCGUGAAGUCGGAAUCGCUAGUAAUCGUGGAUCAGAAUGCCACGGUGAAUACGUUCCCGGGCCUUGUACACACCGCCCGUCACACCAUGGGAGUGGGUUGCAAAAGAAGUAGGUAGCUUAACCUUCGGGAGGGCGCUUACCACUUUGUGAUUCAUGACUGGGGUGAAGUCGUAACAAGGUAGGCGUAGCGAG
rnacentral:rRNA from 1 species